GAAAUCCUCUGGGCAUAAAGUUCCAGAUGCUCUGGAAGAAUCUCAAGAUCAAGUUGCAAGAACUUCUGAUUAUGCCAUGCUAUCUCUGUUGAAAGACAUCUCAAGUCAGAACAAAUCUCUGCUCCCACACACAUAAGGAAAAUGAAAACUCAAUUGUCGGCACCCUUUUCAAUCCAAACGUGUAGAGUACAAUGGCAGUCCAGAGGUUAGUCUAAGAAUAAUAGAUACCAUCUUCCAUGAUGUGGUGUAGCAAGCUUCUUUGAAGGGCAUGACAUUUUAGUUGCUCCAUUAAAUCCUCAGCUUUUAUGCUUUACUAAAGAUUAUGUAUUUAGAUCCACUGACAAUUGGAUUGUGAACUAAGCAGUGUGGUGUAGUAGAUUGCAUGCCGAUAGGAGCCCCUUUAACCAUGGUGACUAAUAAUUUAAUGUUCCUUUAGGGUGCUCGCAUUCUUUUGAAACAGAUUUAAUGUUUCAAUUAUCUUUGCUCAUAUAUGUAUAACCUUUGCAGUAACCUGUAUUGUGUUUCAACUGAUUUCCAAUGUAUUCAGGACCUGCUGGCAGGGUGCCCGGAAGGCGGAAGCAACGCACGCUCAUCGACGAUUUCAUCCCCACCAUUGAGGGCAAGAAUGCCAUAUGCUACCCACAUCCGAAGAGGCUUCCUGGUUCAGGAACAAAGGAUUCUAAUUGGUAACUUUUGUGGUGCGUUUGGCGACCUCCGGUCACCAAGAGUAAUCAUUCAAGGGGUUCAUUGUCUCCUCUAAAUGGUCAUGGUAUGGUCGUAAGAUAUUAAGAGUACAAUCUGGUCUGGCACCAUUGGUUGAAGAAGAAAAUGUAUUUACCACUUGGUGAUGUGACAAACUCAACAGACCUCGUGUAUGGUCUUGGUCAUAAGAGAUUAAGAGUAGAAUCUGGUCUGGCACCAUUGUUUGAAGAAGAAAGCGUAUCUACCACAUGUGUAGCAACUCAAUUAUUUUUUAGUGUACCACACCAUUGGUUGAUUAUUCAACAAACCUCGGGUUUACAGUGUAUUUUUCAGAUAAAUAUAUGCUUGAAUUAUUUUACUAUUUGAUCUAGUUGUAAACCUAGUUGGAUAGACACUCCUUGUUUGUGAUUACCCCACUGAUGAUACAUAACCUAGGGUUAUAUUUAUCACUAGACAUGAUACUCUGUUUAUGCGAUCACUAGAACAUCUUUACUACUCUCCCAAUGCAAUUGUUUUCAAACAGGAAAAUGUGUGAGCGUGUUGUUGGUAUAAACAUGGGUUGGGAUUUUGGAAAAGUGUUAAUCAUGAACAACUAAGUGUUGGUGAUUACCUUGAGAUGGGGCGGAUCAGGGUUCCUUGUGUGAGACGACUGGGAGUUUUUGGCUCGUGCCUUUGUAGCUGAGUAAGGAAGAUCCACCUUAGAUGUAGCUUUGUCUCGUUUAAGGACCGAGUUGAUGUGCCAUCUUGCCUAACCCAAUUUAUUGUACAACCACUCGACCUUGUAUGUGGCAAGGGCUUAGUCUAAAUCCCACUAGCUAGUCUGUUAGUCGUCCGGAGGCAGGUGUACAGUGAGAGGCUAAGGAGCAGGCAUAAGCAAGUGUAGGCUUAUUAGUGGCUUGGUUGGAGACCUCGUUGGAAGGUUGUGAACUUCUUAGUUAGCUCUCGUAGACAGCUAAAAUGAUGAUGCUAUGGUGGAUAAUGACUUUGAUGGAUCCACGCUGGCACUAAGGAAUUCAUGUUGGGGUACCUUACUUGUGGGUAGAGUGUACACCUCUGCAGAGUUCAAAAUCUAUUCGAAUAGCCAUGCCCAUGGUGUGUGGAUGAGUUAUGGCUUGGUCACUUUGACUAGUUUUGGGAAUUAUGUAAACUCCCUUUGUGUGAGUAAAACGUGUGUGGAUUUUGGAAAUGCCGGCAAGUGGUGCCGUUUGCUGCUGUGGAUGGGGUAUCCGGUAGCAAUUAAAAUUUGGAUCCUUUGUGUAGGAUCGCCCCACUCUUUCAUACUUACUGUCACUAUGGCAACCAUUUGUUUUACGAAAACUGAAGUACUAGAUAAACCUUGCAUGUGUAUAAAAACUGGCUUUAUGCAAAAUAAACCUAGCCUAUCCCUUGAUUUACCCUUAUGCAUGCAUUCUUAAAUCCCCCUCCGUAGGGCGGGGUUGGAUUUGCUGAGUACGUUUAUACUCACCCUUUGUUGCUAUUACAAAGGAAGACCCGGACUUCGUCGCCAGUGAAGAUUUCGAGUAGUACGUCGCAUCUGCACCCAACUUGCCUAUGGCGUUGGGCUAAUAAUGAUGUUUUCACUGCCCGUAGCCUCGAGUGAUAUAUGCGGAUCUUACUAUCCAUAGCUAGCACUCUUGGUUUGUUGUGGUUGUUGCUAUUUUAAUUUGGUUUUGGAUCACUUGGCCUUUACUGAAGGAUUUGUAUCGAGACUGAAUUAUCUGAUGUAAUAAAUGUGUUCACUAGCCUUCUUGGGUCUGGUAUUUGUA